AUUGAACGCUGGCGGCAGGCCUAACACAUGCAAGUCGAACGGUAACAGGAAGAAGCUUGCUUCUUUGCUGACGAGUGGCGGACGGGUGAGUAAUGUCUGGGAAACUGCCUGAUGGAGGGGGAUAACUACUGGAAACGGUAGCUAAUACCGCAUAACGUCGCAAGACCAAAGAGGGGGACCUUCGGGCCUCUUGCCAUCGGAUGUGCCCAGAUGGGAUUAGCUAGUAGGUGGGGUAACAGCUCACCUAGGCGACGAUCCCUAGCUGGUCUGAGAGGAUGACCAGCCACACUGGAACUGAGACACGGUCCAGACUCCUACGGGAGGCAGCAGUGGGGAAUAUUGCACAAUGGGCGCAAGCCUGAUGCAGCCAUGCCGCGUGUAUGAAUAAGGCCUUCGGGUUGUAAAGUACUUUCAGCGGGGAGGAAGGGAGUAAAGUUAAUACCUUUGCUCAUUGACGUUACCCGCAGAAGAAGCACCGGCUAACUCCGUG
rnacentral:rRNA from 1 species